rnacentral:rRNA from 1 species
AGCGAACGCUGGCGGCAGGCCUAACACAUGCAAGUCGAACGAACCCUUCGGGGUUAGUGGCGGACGGGUGAGUAACACGUGGGAACGUGCCUUUAGGUUCGGAAUAACUCAGGGAAACUUGUGCUAAUACCGAAUGUGCCCUUCGGGGGAAAGAUUUAUCGCCUUUAGAGCGGCCCGCGUCUGAUUAGCUAGUUGGUGAGGUAAAGGCUCACCAAGGCUACGAUCAGUAGCUGGUCUGAGAGGAUGACCAGCCACAUUGGGACUGAGACACGGCCCAAACUCCUACGGGAGGCAGCAGUGGGGAAUUUUGCGCAAUGGGCGAAAGCCUGACGCAGCCAUGUCGCGUGGAUGAUGAAGGUCUUAGGAUUGUAAAAUCCUUUCACCGGUGAAGAUAAUGACUGUAGCCGGAGAAGAAGCCCCGGCUAACUUCGUGCCAGCCGCCGCGGUAAGAC